rnacentral:rRNA from 1 species
AUACGUAGGGAGCGAGCGUUACCCGGAAUUACUGGGCGUAAAGCGCGCGUAGGCGGUUAAAUAAGUUGGAUGUGAAAUCCCCGGGCUCAACCUGGGAACUGCGUUUAAUACUAGCAAGCUAGAGAAAUAGAGAGGAAAGUGGAACUCCCAGUGUAGAGGUGAAAUUCGUAGAUAUUGGGAAGAACACCAGUGGCGAAGGCGGCCACCUGGCCCGGUACUGACGCUGAGGUGCGAAAGCGUGGGGAGCAAACAGGAUUAGAUACCCCAGUAGUCC